rnacentral:rRNA from 1 species
GAAAUUUGGGCUAAUACCGCAUAAGUAUAACAAAACUGAGAGUAGUUUUAGAAAGGAUGCCUCUACUUGUAAGCAUUCGCCGAAGGAUGAGCUUGCGUAACAUUAGUUUGUUGGUGGGGUAAAGGCCUACCAAGACUAUGAUGUUUAGCUGGUCUGAGAGGAUGAUCAGUCACACUGGAACUGAGACACGGUCCAGACUCCUACGGGAGGCAGCAGUAGGGAAUAUUGCGCAAUGGGCGAAAGCCUGACGCAGCAACGCCGCGUGAGUGAGGAAGGCCUUCGGGUUGUAAAGCUCUGUUAAGGUGGAAAAACGGCUUAGGGUCCAAUAGGCCUUAAGAUUGAUGGUACACCUAGAGGAAGCACCGGCUAACUUCGUGCCAGCAGCCGCGGUAAUACGAAGGGUGCGAGCGUUGUUCGGAUUUAUUGGGCGUAAAGCGCGCGCAGGCGGAUUAAUAAGUCAGGUGUGAAAUCUCGGGGCCCAACUCCGAAACUGCGCCUGAAACUGUUGAUCUAGAAUCUUGGAGAGGGAAGGGGAAUUUCGCAUGUAGGAGUAAAAUCCGUA